rnacentral:rRNA from 1 species
GAUGAACGCUGGCGGCGUGCUUAACACAUGCAAGUCGAACGGAAAGGCCCAAGCUUGCUUGGGUACUCGAGUGGCGAACGGGUGAGUAACACGUGGGUGAUCUGCCCUGCACUUCGGGAUAAGCCUGGGAAACUGGGUCUAAUACUGGAUAGGACCACUUCUUGGAUGGUGUGGUGGAAAGUUUUUUCGGUGUGGGAUGAGCUCGCGGCCUAUCAGCUUGUUGGUGGGGUAAUGGCCUACCAAGGCGUCGACGGGUAGCCGGCCUGAGAGGGUGUACGGCCACAUUGGGACUGAGAUACGGCCCAGACUCCUACGGGAGGCAGCAGUGGGGAAUAUUGCACAAUGGGCGCAAGCCUGAUGCAGCGACGCCGCGUGGGGGAUGACGGCCUUCGGGUUGUAAACUCCUUUCGCUAGGGACGAAGCGUUUUUGUGACGGUACCUGGAGAAGAAGCACCGGCUAACUACGUGCCAGCAGCCGCGGUAAUACGUAGGGUGCGAGCGUUGUCCGGAAUUACUGGGCGUAAAGAGCUCGUAGGUGGUUUGUCGCGUCGUUUGUGUAAGCCCGCAGCUUAACUGCGGGACUGCAGGCGAUACGGGCAUAACUUGAGUGCUGUAGGGGAGACUGGAAUUCCUGGUGUAGCGGUGGAAUGCGUAGAUAUAUGGAGGAACACCGGUGGCGAAAGCGGCUCUCUGGUCUGUAACUGACGCUGAGGCUCGAAAGCGUGGGGAGCGAACAGGG